rnacentral:rRNA from 1 species
UACGGAGGGUGCAAGCGUUAUUCGGAAUCACUGGGCGUAAAGGGCGCGUAGGCGGCUCUCUAAGUCGGGCGUGAAAUCCCGGGGCUAAACUCCGGAAGUGCCCUUGAUACUGAGGAGCUUGAGUCCGGGAGAGGUGAGUGGAACUCCGAGUGUAGAGGUGAAAUUCGUAGAUAUUCGGAAGAACACCAGUGGCGAAGGCGGCUCGCUGGCCCGGUACUGACGCUGAGGUGCGAAAGCGUGGGGAGCAAACAGG